rnacentral:rRNA from 1 species
GACAGGGUGGCAAACGUUGCUCGGAAUCACUGGGCGUAAAGGGCGUGUAGGCGGGAAGUAAAGUCAGAUGUGAAAUCCCUGGGCUCAACCCAGGAACUGCAUUUGAAACUCACUUUCUUGAGUACCGGAGAGGAAGGUGGAAUACCUGGUGUAGAGGUGAAAUUCGUAGAUAUCAGGUGGAACACCAGUGGCGAAGGCGGCCUUCUGGACGGUAACUGACGCUGAGACGCGAAAGCGUGGGGAGCAAACAGG